rnacentral:tRNA from 2 species
GCGCCCGUAGCUCAGUUGGACAGAGCAACGGCCUUCUAAGCCGUGGGUCGCAGGUUCAAGUCCUGCCGGGCGUGCCA